rnacentral:rRNA from 1 species
GUCUGUGUGAAGUUAUAUGGAGUCUAACCUGCCCAUUGAAUAAUUUAAAAGGCCGCAGUAUAUUAACUGUGCAAAGGUAGCAUAAUCAUUAGUUUUUUAAUUGGAGGCUUGUAUGAAGGGUUGGACAAAGAAUGAUCUGUUUCUAUUUUUAUUUUUGAAUUUAACUUUUAAGUGAAAAGGCUUAAGUAAGUUUAAGGGACGAUAAGACCCUAUAAAUCUUUAUAUUAAAUUAUUUUUUAUCUGAUUAAUGUUGUGUAUUAGGUGGUAGUUAAAUAAUAUAUAUUGUGUUGGGGUGAUGAGAAUAUAAUAAAUAGCUGUUCUAAAAUAGAAACAAUUUUUUUUGUGAUAAUAGAAGAUCCUUUAUUGAGAUUGAAAGUUUAAGUUACUUUAGGGAUAACAGCGUUAUUUUUUUUGAGAGUUCUUAUCGAAAAAAAAGUUUGCGACCUCGAUGUUGAAUUAAAAUUUCUUUGUGGUGUAGUAGUUGCAUAAGAGAGUCUGUUCGACUUUU